rnacentral:rRNA from 1 species
UGCGUAGGCGGGCUAAUAAGUCAGUGGCGAAAUCUUCCGGCUCAACCGGGAACCUGCCAUUGAUACUGUUAGUCUUGAGUUCGGUUGAGGUAGGCGGAAUGUGUAAUGUAGCGGUGAAAUGCUUAGAUAUUACACAGAACACCAAUUGCGUAGGCAGCUUACUAGACCGACACUGACGCUGAGGCACGAAAGCGUGGGGAGCGAACAGGAUUAGAUACCCUGGUAGUCC